rnacentral:misc_RNA from 1 species
GCCAUUCUUCCCCUCCAAAUUUAACCACCAUCGCUUCUCCUUCUCACGUCAGUCCUCAGCCGUUUAAUCCCAUCUCUCUAAUUAUCACCGUCCAAAACCUCCAUUGAAAUAGCAGAAGCAAAAUCCUCCAAUUAUUUUCUUCUCACUCGCUCAUCUCCAUUUCUAGGGUUUUGUUUUUCAUCUAAUCCUGUCCAAUUUUUUUUUUCUCCUUCCAUUUCGUUAGAAUUUUUUGCGAGAUCUAAGACAAUGCCUGUGAAUUUGACGCCGAACGCUAUAGCGAUGAUAAACGGCGGCGAUGUGAACUUGAAGCCUUUGGUGCAGGUUGUUGAUAUAAAGCAGAUAGGCAGCGCGCAGGAGAGGUAUCGCCUCCUCAUUUCCGAUUCCGUUUCUACGCAGCACGCUAUGCUCGCCACUCAGCUCAACGACCGAGUCAAGAACGGCUUCGUCAAGAAAGGAUCCGUUAUUCAAUUGAUCGAUUACAUUUGCAGCGAUGUUCAAAAGCGCAAGAUUAUUGUUGUGCUGAACUUGGAAACUAUAAUACCAGACUGUGAAAUAAUUGGAAAUCCAAAAUUGUUUAUUGAUAUGACUGCUCAGAAGGCAUUACCUAAUGGCAACUCGAUACAGUCAGCAGGGUUUGGUUAUAACAAUCCUAGUGCCCAAAAUUAUGGCAAUAAUAUGCAGAGUUUCCAGCCUCCUUUGAGUGCCCAAAAGCAGGGAUCUACUGUGCAUAGUUUCAGGCCCCCACUGACUUCUCAAAAUCAUGGCAAUAAUAUGCAAAGUUUCCAAUCCACUUUGAGUGCCCAAAAUCACGGUAAUAAUGUACAGAGUUUCCAACCAACUGUUCAACCUCCAUAUAGACCACCUCCAAGUUAUAGAAAUCAUGGUGCUAUCAUGAAGAAUGAGGCGCCAGCACGCAUAAUUCCCAUUGCUGCUUUGAAUCCUUAUCAGGGGCGAUGGGCUAUCAAGGCUAGGGUAACUGCAAAAGGGGAUCUCCGUCGCUACAACAAUGCCCGAGGAGAUGGGAAGGUCUUCUCCUUUGACCUUCUUGACUCUAAUGGAGGUGAAAUACGAGUGACCUGCUUCAAUGCUGUUGUUGACCGCUUUUAUGAUGUUAUUGAGGUUGGUAGAGUCUAUUUGAUUUCAAAGGGUAGCUUAAAACCUGCACAGAAGAAUUUCAACCACUUGAAUAAUGAAUGGGAGAUAUUUUUGGAGGCAACUUCAAUUGUGGAUCUUUGUCCUGAUGAAGAUGGUUCUAUACCACAACAGCAGUUCUCCUUCAAAUCCAUCAGUGAAAUUGAGAAUGCUGAAAACAAUGCCAUACUUGAUGUUAUUGGUAUUGUGAUAUCAGUUUGUCCAUCAGUUCCUAUCUUGAGAAAGAAUGGUAUGGAAACACAAAGAAGAAUUCUGAAUCUGAAGGAUAGUUCUGGCAGGAGUGUUGAGCUAACCCUUUGGGGGGAUUUCUGCAAUAAGGAAGGUCAAAAGCUGCAAGAGAUUGUUGAUUCUGGGGCUUUUCCAGUUUUAGCUGUCAAAGCAGGCAAGGUUAGUGACUUCAGUGGGAAAUCCUUAGGGACAAUUUCUUCUACUCAGCUCUUUAUAAAUCCAGAUAUUCCGGAGGCUCAUGGCCUGAAAGACUGGUUUGAUGGAGGGGGGCACAUUGCUGCUUCUUUGUCCAUUUCCAGGGACAUUAUGCCAGGAGGAUCUAAGAAUGAGAUACGUAAAACAGUUUCUCAGAUCAAGUUUGAAGGUCUUGGAAGAUCAGAUAGGCCAGACUGGGUCACAGUGAGUGCAAGAAUAACUUUUGUCAAAACAGAUACAUUCUGUUAUACAGCUUGCCCAUUGAUGAUUGGUGAUAGGCAGUGUAACAAGAAAGUGAUAAGAUCAGGAAACUCAAGAUGGCAAUGCGACAGAUGCAAUCAAGAAUUUGAUGAGUGUGAUUAUAGGUAUCUUCUUCAAGUUCAGAUUCAGGACCAUACAGGAUUGACUUGGGUAACAGCUUUUCAGGAGGCUGGGGAAGAAAUAUUAGGUUACCCUGCAAAGGAAUUGUACUUGAUGAAAUAUGAAUUGCAGGAUGAUACCAGAUUUGCAGAUAUAAUUCGGGGCAGACUAUUCCACCAGUAUCUAUUCAGACUUAAGAUCAAAGAGGAAAUGUAUGGUGACGAACAAAGGGUGAAGAUGACUGUUGUUAAGGCAGAUAAGGUGAACUAUUCUUCAGAGAGUAGAUAUCUGCUCGAUUUUAUUUCAAAAUAUCCUAGAUACUGAAUAAUCUGAACCAAAAGCAACUGAUUUUAGGUCUUGUACCAUUGGUUCUUCGAAAUUCAUUUAGGCUUUAGCAAAGCUGACACGAAAUUUAAACGUUCAGUGAUUUUAUCAACAUUAUUGGAAAUAAUUGUCGGCGCCUGAGAUUCAUAUUUUUCUUCCACAAUCAUUUUAGCACCUGGAUGUGGUGUUGAUGUUCAUAAUCUGCACUGCCUGGGGGAUGUAUGAUUCUUGGUGUGACUACAGCAUUGCAGCAAAUUCUACAGGAGUGUUAAUAUUAAUUUGUUUUUCCAUUAUUUGAGUGCAUUUUUCUCAUUUAGGAAUGUCAGUUGAAGGAUUAUUUGACCAUCACUUGUGAAACUCUCCUUUUUUUCAUCACAAAGGGUCGAGAAACGUCUCCCUCUUAGUUCGUGGAUUUACAGAUGCGCAUUCGGAAGGAUUGCAUCUUUCAGUUUCUCCGUAUUGACCGUCUUAUAAAAUUAACAUGAAAAAUUCAUUU